UUGCUGGCUUGACGGUUGGGGCGCUGACGCGGGAGGGCGGGCAGGGCCGUGGGGCGCGCGCGGGAAGGGACUUGUGGGAAGGAAGGGAGCGGAAAGGCCGAGCGCCACCCGCCCCGGGAGUCUCCAGAGCAGCGCGCGGGGCAGACCUCCUCGGGUCCUCCGGCGCUUCGGUCUCCGGAGACGCCCGGCCUCCUGAAGGGUUCGGCUUGUCCUCCUCUGGCGCUCAGCUCCCUCUGGCGGCCGGGCUGGCAGGACCUCAGCGCCCAGCCCUUCCGUCUUGUUACGUCCAGGGUCUCACUCUGUGUCUCAGGCUGGAGUACAGUGGUGCAAUUGUAGAUGGCUGCAGCCCUCGACCUCCUGGGCUCAAGUGAUCCUCCUGCCUUAGCCUCUCGAGUAGCUGGGAGUACAGAUGCACACCACCACACCCAGCCUAGAAUGAAGAAACCUGCAGUUGGGAAGCAUGAAUUUACCACCUAUUAAGAAUUGUGGCUUGCAUUGUAAGAGGAGCCUGUGAAUUCAGAGGCAAGUCUGCUGAGGACCGAAUGUUCCUGUCCAUAAAAACAGAAGUCUGGCCUGGGCUCCUCUCUUGGGUGAAUUUGCAAUGCCAGAUCCUCUCUAUCAGUUUGGUUUUGUUUCUUGUAUCUCUGGGAAGGCAGGCAGACAGCACGGUCACCUGUGAAUGCAGCUACAAUUGGCUUAGCUGCCUCACUGAUAAAUGUGCCCCCAGUAAGCUACAAAGGGAUUACCAGCGUUCUCAGCAGCUAAAGGAACUGGUGAAGAUUUCCCCAGCAAAAAGUAGAAGCUCAGUGUUUCAUAGAUGAAGACUGGGGAGAUUGCAAAAGACCCAUCCAGCAGUGGUUCUCAGACCUCAGUGUGCAUCAGAAUCACCUGGAAGGCUUGUGAAAACACGUAUUGCUGGGCCACACCCCCAGAAUUUCUGGAUCAGUAAAGCUGGGAUUCUUACUUUGAGUAGCCAACUUGCAGAAUACAAUAGAAUUUUGGGAGGAGCCCCUCGAUGCCUGGCUUUACUGUUGGAGAGACAGUACAGUAUACACCAGAUGACUUAUUUGUGAACCAUGGAAACGUUUGGAAAAGAGUCUCACUUUGUCGCCCAGGCUGGAGUACAGUGGUGCGAUCUUGGCUCUCUGCAACCUCUGCCUCCCAGGUUCAAGUAAUUCUCCUGCCUCAGCCUCCCGAGUAGCUGGUACUACAGGCACACAUUUGUAGAGAUGGUGUUUCCCCAUGUCAUCCAGGCUGGUCUGGAACUCCUGGGAUCAAGUAAUCCACCCGCCUCGGCCUCCCAAAGUGCUGGGAUUACAGACGUGAGCCACCACGCCCUGCCAAUAAAAAGAUUAUCUCCAGAUGCUGGAAUGACCAGUAAUUUAUUUUCUUCCUUUUUUUUUGUCUGCACUUUCUACCAUAAUCAUAUGUUAGCUUCUUACUAAGAAGAAAAGUCAAUGUUAUUUCCCUGAAAAAGUAAUGUUGUUUGGUUAUUAAACAAAUUUAAUUUUCUAAACAAGAGUACGACAGGUAAACUGCCUACCUUAAAAGCAAACGAACACAAAUAAAUAAACUAACCAUCUUCCACUUCAGUCUCUGUCCUUUCACCAGAGUUGCUGAUCAG
rnacentral:lncRNA from 1 species